rnacentral:rRNA from 1 species
UACGUAGGGGGCAAGCGUUGUCCGGAUUUAUUGGGCGUAAAGAGCGUGUAGGCGGUUUGGUAGGUCCGCUGUGAAAACUCGAGGCUCAACCUCGAGACGCCGGUGGAAACCAUCAGACUAGAGUGCGGAAGGGGCAAUCGGAAUUCUUGGUGUAGCGGUGAAAUGCGUAGAUAUCAAGAGGAACACCUGAGGUGAAGACGGGUUGCUGGGCCGACACUGACGCUGAUAGCGCGAAAGCCAGGGGAGCAAACGGG